rnacentral:rRNA from 1 species
UACGUAGGGACCGAGCGUUGUCCGGAAUCAUUGGGCGUAAAGAGCGUGUAGGCGGCUAUUUAAGUCCUGCGUGAAAUCCUGCGGCUCAACCGCAGGCGGUCGUGGGAAACUGGAUGGCUAGAGUGCGGGAGAGGAGAGUGGAAUUCCCGGUGUAGCGGUGAAAUGCGCAGAUAUCGGGAAGAACACCCGUGGCGAAGGCGGCUCUCUGGAACGCAACUAACGCUGAGACGCGAAAGCGUGGGGAGCAAACAGG